rnacentral:misc_RNA from 1 species
GAAAUGCGAUAAGUAGUGUGAAUUGCAGAAUUCAGCGAAUCAUCGAAUCUUUGAACGCACAUUGCGCCCUUUGGUAUUCCAAAGGGCAUGCCUGUUCGAGCGUCAUUUGUACCCUCAAGCUUUGCUUGGUGUUGGGCGUCUUGUCUCUAGCUUUGCUGGAGACUCGCCUUAAAGUAAUUGGCAGCCGGCCUACUGGUUUCGGAGCGCAGCACAAGUCGCACUCUCUAUCAGCAAAGGUCUAGCAUCCAUUAAGCCCUUUUUUCAACUUUUGACCUCGGAUCAGGUAGGGAUACCCGCUGAACUUAAGC